AGUAAAAUAUCGCAUUUCAGACCUCUAGCGCGUUUAUACAAUACGCGUAUAAUAGCCAUUACCCACAAGUUUUAUAAUUAAAGCGAAAUAUUUCAACGGGUCGGGAUUUGGGUCAGGGGUGUAUUUGGGAGAUUGUAGGCGGAGGGGUGUAGCAAUUGACACAGCCACCUCGAGCUGCAAAUGUAUAAGGUGCGGCCGGUCGCAAAUCUGUUUACUAAAAUAUUUUUGCGUUUUUCGGGUGUUCCAAUUGAACCGUUUUUGGUGGCCGAUUUAAUUUAAAUGCUCAAACUACACUUGCCCAAUGUGUCUUUUAAAACGGCGUUUUAUUUAUCACGUUACAUUUAUUAAACGGCUGUCGGAGUAGGCAAUUUCACAGCGUCGCCGCGUUGCCGGUCGGGUCUCUCUGACCAUCGCGCGUCGUCAAUCUAAUUGCGUGAAAAAAAACCUG